rnacentral:rRNA from 1 species
UACGGGGGGGGCAAGCGUUGUUCGGAAUUACUGGGCGUAAAGGGCUCGUAGGUGCCAGCCAACGUAGUCAGACGAGGAAUGAACCUCCCGUCGUCUAACCCGGGGGAACUGCGUCUGAUACUGGAUGGCUUGAGUUCGGGAGAGGGAUGCGGAAUUCCAGGUGUAGCGGUGAAAUGCGUAGAUAUCUGGAGGAACACCGGUGGCGAAGGCGGCAUCCUGGACCGACACUGACACUGAGGAGCGAAAGCCAGGGGAGCAAACGGG